rnacentral:rRNA from 1 species
UACGAGGGGUGCAAGCGUUGCUCGGAAUUAUUGGGCGUAAAGGGCAAGUAGGUGGUCUCAUUUGUCUGGGGUGAAAGCCUUGAGCUUAACUCAAGAAGUGCCCCGGAAACGGUGAGACUCGAGUAUUGGAGAGGGUCGUGGAAUUCCUGGUGUAGCGGUGAAAUGCGCAGAUAUCAGGAGGAACACCGGUGGCGAAGGCGGGUCUCUGGGGCCGAUAUUGA